rnacentral:misc_RNA from 1 species
GCAUAUGUCGUGUUUCGUCAUCAGGUAAAGACUUAAUAUAAUAUCCAAUCUAAAUAUUGCAUGUGGCAAUAGUUUCAUCAAUUAAUUGAAUACGGCCAUGAAAUUUGAGUCCAACUUAGUAUAACUUUUAGGUAAAGAUUCACCACAGCUGGAUGGCUUUCAGCCACUGAUGCUCCAAUGAUUUGCUUUGAAAUAUCUUCAAGUAGUACUGCUGUAGUUUGGAUGGAAGAGGCUGGUGUUCAACAAGAAAUUUGUUGCACUGGAGAUACAUACGACAUUUAAGUUAUUGCCAUUAGAUGUUACCUUUAUUUCAACAGAAAAGCCUUAAGAAACACAUCAAGCUGGUAGGAAGAAAAAUAAUCACACAGAAUGCCUUGCGUCAAUUGCAGAAUAUGAUCUGUUAUUAUAGCUCUUCACUGUUCAAUUGUUAGCCUCUUCUAUAGAAUUUAUAUUUGCACCAAGAGAACAAGAUAAUGAUGGGAAAACAAAAUUUGGGGAACUUGUAAAACGAACAUGCAGCAUGAAGAUAUGAAACAAAUAUGUGCUUGUUAUGGGAUUCCUUAUGUGUUGUUACUUGUUCAGAGUGUAAACACAAUCUCACUGCACUAAUUAUGAUAGUUUCAAACUUUGUUCAAGUAAUGACUUAAGUCCUUUUUUAUAAGCUCGUCUAUAUUAAUUAUUAAUUUUUUUAACGUGUAAAAUGCAGAUCAUAAAUGUUUACAACCAA